rnacentral:rRNA from 1 species
UACGUAGGGUGCGAGCGUUAAUCGGAAUUACUGGGCGUAAAGGGUGCGCAGGCGGUUGAGUAAGACAGAUGUGAAAUCCCCGAGCUUAACUCGGGAAUGGCAUAUGUGACUGCUCGACUAGAGUGUGUCAGAGGGAGGUGGAAUUCCACGUGUAGCAGUGAAAUGCGUAGAUAUGUGGAAGAACACCGAUGGCGAAGGCAGCCUCCUGGGACAUGACUGACGCUCAGGCACGAAAGCGUGGGGAGCAAACAGG